rnacentral:tRNA from 1 species
UGCUUGCUUGGUGAAAUAGGUAAACACAACAGAUUUAAAAUCUGUACCCUAUGUUGGGUUACCGGUUCAACUCCGGUAGCGAGCAA